UACGGGGGGGGCAAGCGUUGUUCGGAAUUACUGGGCGUAAAGGGCUCGUAGGCGGCCAACUAAGUCAGACGUGAAAUCCCCAGGCUCAACCUGGGAACUGCGUCUGAUACUGGAUGGCUUGAAUCCGGGAGAGGGAUGCAGAAUUCCAGGUGUAGCGGUGAAAUGCGUAGAUAUCUGGAGGAAUACCGGUGGCGAAGGCGGCAUCCUGGACCGGCAUUGACGCUGAGGAGCGAAAGCCAGGGGAGCAAACGGGAUUAGAAACCCCCGUAGUCC
rnacentral:rRNA from 1 species